AAAAAAAAAAAAAAACCUUUAGAAACUAAGUAGGAAGUUCCCUGCACUCUGAUUCGAGUAUAUUUUGUGUUGAGAUGGGUACUACUCUAAUCAAGGCAAUUCAAAAGCCUAAUCGAAGAUAGAGAAGUAUAAAUUAAAAUAAAAAUAAUUAGAAAAUUCGAAUAUGAUAGUCACUCUGCUGAUUCAAGGAGUUAGUACAGGCAUGGGGUGGAGUUUGUAAAGAAAAGGAAAGGUAUAUGGAGGCUAUGCUCAAUGGCAUGUUUAUGGGUGAUUUGGGAGGAAAGGAAUGGAAGGUGUUUUGGGAAUGCGAGUCAUGUGGUGGGUUGGGUUAAGAUGCGUGGGUCUAGUCAUUAAUUGGGCUUCAAGCUUGGAUGGGAAUAUUGAUUGUAACUGUUUGUAAUUGUUUGUAAAUUAGGGGCUGUUUUGGUUGGCUAUUUUUGCUUCUAACUUUGGAAGGCUGGUUUCGGUCUCCUUAUGUAUAGUUGAUGCUAUUUUGUGCUGUCUAUAAAAUUUUUGUUACCUCUAAAAAAUAAAUAAAUAAAAA